rnacentral:rRNA from 1 species
UACGUAGGGUGCGAGCGUUAAUCGGAAUUACUGGGCGUAAAGUGUGCGCAGGCGGCCGCGCAAGUCGAGUGUGAAAGCCCCGAGCUUAACUUGGGAAUUGCGCUCGAAACUACGUGGCUGGAGUGUGGCAGAGGAAGGUGGAAUUCCACGUGUAGCGGUGAAAUGCGUAGAUAUCGAGAGGAACACCUGCGGCGAAGGCGGGUUGCUGGGCUGACACUGACGCUGAAGUGCGAAGGCUAGGGGAGCGAACGGG